GUGAGGAAUAUUGCGCAAUGGAGGCAACUCUGACGCAGCCAUGCCGCGUGCAGGAAGAAGGCGCUACGCGUUGUAAACUGCUUUUAACCGGGAAGAAACCCCAGGACGUGUCCUGGGUUGACGGUACCGGAGGAAUAAGCACCGGCUAACUUCGUGCCAGCAGCCGCGGUAAUACGAAGGGUGCAAGCGUUAUCCGGAUGCAUUGGGUUGAAAGGGUGCGUAGGCGGAGCGUUAAGUCAGUGGUGAAAUCCUGCAGCUUAACUGUAGACUUGCCAUUGAUACUGGCGCUCUUGAGUGCGCUUGAAGUGGGCGGAAUGUGCCGUGUAGCGGUGAAAUGCUUAGAUAUGGCACAGAACACCAAUUGCGAAGGCAGCUCACUAAGGCGAUACUGACGCUGAGGCACGAAAGCGUGGGGAUCGAACAGGAUUAGAAACCCGAGUAGUCC
rnacentral:rRNA from 1 species